AUUUUGGGGGAUCUGAUGGACAUUGGGGACACCAUGGUGGGACCUGGAGGAGAUUUGGGGUCACCAAGGUGGGACCUGGUAGAGAAUUGGGGACACCAAGAUGGGACCUGGUGGACAUUGGAUGUCACCAAGGUGGGUCCUGCUGGAAACUGGAGGUCACCAAGGUGGGACCUGGAGAAGAUUUGGGGUCACCAAGGUGGGACCUGGAGGAGAUUUGGGGUCACCAAGGUGGGACCUGGAGGAGAUUUGGGGUCACCAAGGUGGGACCUGGUGGAGAUCUGGGGUGACCAAGGUGGGACCUGGAGAAGAUUUGGGGUCACCAAGGUGGGACCUGGAGGAGAUUUGGGGUCACCAAGGUGGGACCUGGAGAUCUGAAGAUUGAGGGGCACCAAGGUGGGUCCUGCUGGAGGUUGGGGGUCACCAAAGUGGCACCUGGUGGAGAUGUGGGGUCACCAAAGUUGUUCCUGCUAGAGAUUGGGGGGGUCACCAAGGUGGAACCCGGAAAAGAUUUGGGGUCACCAAGGUGGGACCUGGAGGAUCUGAAGAAGAUUGAGGGGCACCAAGGGGGUCCUGCUGGACGUUGGGGGUCACCAAGGUGGGACCUAGAACUGGUGGGAGCACCAAGGUGGGUCCUCCUGGAAGUUGGGGGUCACCAAGGUGGGACCUGGAGGACCUGGUGGAGAUUGGGGGGUGCUCAGGUGGGACCUGGAGCAGUUGAUGGUGUCCUGAAGAAGAUUGGGGGCACCAAGGUUGGUCCUGAAGAAGAUUGAGGGCACCAAGGUGUGACCUGGAGGAGAUCGGGGGGAACCAAGGUGUGACCUGGAGGAGAUCGGGGGGAACCAAGGUGGAAGCUGGAGGAGAUCGGGGGGAACCAAGGUUGGAGCUGGAGGACCUGGAGGAGAUUUGGGGUCACCAAGAUUUGGGGUCCUGGAAGUGAUGGGGGCACCAAGGUGGGACGUGGAGGACCUGGAGAAGAUUUGGGGUCACCAAGGUGAAACCUGGAGGAGGUGGAGGCACCAAGGUGGGACCUGGAGGAGAUGGGGGCCACCAAGGUUGGUCCAGGAGGAGAUCAGGGACACCAAGAUGGGUCCUGGAGGACACUGGGGACACCAAGGUGAGCUGGGCAGGACCAGGUGGAGACGGGUGCCCAGGUGGGUCCUGGAGGAGAUGAUGGAGCACAGGAUGGGUCCAGGAGAAGUAGCACAAGGUGAUAGACCACAAGAUGGGUCUUGGAGGACCUGGAGGAGAUGGUGGACACCAGGAUGGCUCCAGGAGAAGCAGGAGGAGAUGGUGGACAUCAGGAUGGGUCCAGGAGAAGCUGGAGGAGAUGGACACCAAGGUGAGACCUGGAGGAGAUGGUGGACGUCAGGAUGGGUCCAGGAGAAGCUGGAGGAGAUGACAGACACCAGGAUGGGUCUUGGAGAAGCUGGAGAUGAUGGACACCAGGAUGGGUCCAGGAGAAGCUGGAGGAGAUGAGAGACACCAGGAUGGGUCUUGGAGGACCUGGAGAUGAUGAUGGACACCUGGAUGGCUCCAGGAGAAGCAGGAGGAGAUGAUGGACACCAAGGUGAGACCUGGAGGAGAUGGUGGACACCAGGAUGGGUGCAGAGGGGUCAAGCAGAGCUGUCCUGGGUGGAUUUUGCAGGACCAGGAGGAGCUGGUGGGUGCCAAGGUGGGUCCACGAGGAGAUCUGGGCCACCAAGAGGGGUUGGGCAGGAUCUGGAGGAGGGGAAGGGCACCAGAACAGGUCCAGGAGUUGAUGGUGGACCCCAAAAUGGGUUCAGGAGGACCAGGAGGAGAUGAUGGACCCCAAAAUGGCUCCAGGAGAUGAUGGUGGAUCCCAAGAUGGGUUCAGGAGGACCAGAAGGAGAUGAUGAACCCCAAGAUGGCUCCAGAAGAAGAUGCUGGACCCCAAGAUGGCUCCAGGAGAUGAUGGUGGACCCCAAGAUGGGCCCAGAAGAACCAGGAGCAGAUGGGAGGUCCUGGGACAGGUCCAACAGGGUCGGGCAGACCUGGUGGGUUCCGGGACAGGUCCUGGUGGUACCAACAUGUGUGGGACAGGAUGGAAGUGGUGACACAUGGGGACAUCCACCCCACCCAGCUCUUCCAGGAUGGACAAUCGGCCACCAUGACCCUCCCUGGGCCACCACUCCCACGGGGACCUCCCAGGUCUCUUUCCUGUGGGGGACAAUUGUCACGGUAGUCCCCUGGUGGCCAGAUGAACUUCUCCCACCUUCCCAACCCCAUGGAGACCCCUCAGAGCUGGGAUGUUCCUUGUGGCUCCCCCAGAGAAGAACCAGGCAGUGACACAGCCAGAAGGUCGGGAUGGACCUCAAGGACUUCUCCUUGUCUGGCAGGAAAGGACAGAGACAAUCCCUGGAUGCUCUCUGUCCAUGAGGCCCCGCUGGAGAUGGAGCUCACCACGUGGUGAAGCUGGAGAACCUCAUGGAGCUCCAGGUUCUUGUGGAGAUGGAGCUCCCCACGUGGUGGAGAACCUCAUGGACCUCCAGGUUCUUGGUGGAGAUGGAGCUCCCCACGUGGUGAAGAACCUCAUGGACCUCCAGGUUCUUGGUGGAGAUGGAGCUCCCCACGUGGUGGAGAACCAUAUGGACUUCCUGGUUCUUGGUGGAGAUGGAGCUCCCCACGUGGUGGAGAACCUCAUGGACCUCCAGGUUCUUGGUGGAGAUGGAGCUCACCACGUGGUGGAGAACCUCAUGGACCUCCAGGUUCUUGUGGAGAUGGAGCUCACCACGUGGUGGAGAACCUCACGGACCUCCAGGUUCUUGUGGAGAUGGAGCUCACCACGUGGUGGAGAACCUCACGGACCUCCAGGUUCUUGGUGGAGAUGGAGCUCACCACGUGGUGGAGAACCUCAUGGACCUCCAGGUUCUUGUGGAGAUGGAGCUCACCACGUGGUGGAGAACCUCACGGACCUCCAGGUUCUUGGUGGAGAUGGAGCUCACC